rnacentral:rRNA from 1 species
GACGAACGCUGGCGGCGUGCUUAACACAUGCAAGUCGAACGGAAAGGCCCCUUUGGGGGUACUCGAGUGGCGAACGGGUGAGUAACACGUGAGUAACCUGCCCUUGACUUCGGGAUAACUUCAGGAAACUGGGGCUAAUACCGGAUAGGAAUCCUUGCUGCAUGGUGGGGGUUGGAAAGCUUCGGCGGUUUUGGAUGGACUCGCGGCUUAUCAGCUUGUUGGUGGGGUAGUGGCUUACCAAGGCUUUGACGGGUAGCCGGCCUGAGAGGGCGACCGGCCACAUUGGGACUGAGAUACGGCCCAGACUCCUACGGGAGGCAGCAGAGGGGAAUAUUGCACAAUGGGCGGAAGCCUGAUGCAGCAACGCCGCGUGCGGGAUGACGGCCUUCGGGUUGUAAACCGCUUUCAGCAGGGGCGAAGCUUGUGGUGACGGUACCUGCAGAAGAAGCACCGGCUAACUACGUG